rnacentral:rRNA from 1 species
UAAGUGGGAAACGAUGUGGGAAGGCACAGACAGCCAGGAUGUUGGCUUAGAAGCAGCCAUCAUUUAAAGAAAGCGUAAUAGCUCACUGGUCGAGUCGGCCUGCGCGGAAGAUGUAACGGGGCUAAACCAUGCACCGAAGCUGCGGCAGCGACACUAUGUGUUGUUGGGUAGGGGAGCGUUCUGUAAGCCUGCGAAGGUGUGCUGUGAGGCAUGCUGGAGGUAUCAGAAGUGCGAAUGCUGACAUAAGUAACGAUAAAGCGGGUGAAAAGCCCGCUCGCCGGAAGACCAAGGGUUCCUGUCCAACGUUAAUCGGGGCAGGGUGAGUCGACCCCUAAGGCGAGGCCGAAAGGC